UACGUAGGGCGCAAGCGUUGUCCGGAAUUAUUGGGCGUAAAGAGCUCGUAGGCGGUUUGUCGCGUCUGCUGUGAAAACCUAAGGCUCAACCUUGGGCUUGCAGUGGGUACGGGCAGACUAGAGUGCGGUAGGGGUGACUGGAAUUCCUGGUGUAGCGGUGAAAUGCGCAGAUAUCAGGAGGAACACCGAUGGCGAAGGCAGGUCUCUGGGCCACUACUGACGCUGAGAAGCGAAAGCGUGGGGAGCGAACAGG
rnacentral:rRNA from 1 species